UCCGCACACCCGUGAAAACGCCCCUAAUCUCACCCGGAGAUAAGGAGCUGAUAUCAGGCACAAAACUGCCCAAAACAUCUAGCCACGCCACACCCACAAGGGUCUUCAGCAGUGAUUAACAUUAAGAAUAAACGUCAGUUUGACUUAGCCAAGUUAAUAAAGGGCCGGCCAAUCUGGUGCCAGCCGCCGCGGUUACACCACGUGGCUCAAAUUGAUUUCUUACGGCGUAAAGCGUGAUUAAAGAGACGAAAUUCUGGGGUCAAACUUAAAUUAAUUUGUGACACUAUUAUUCUUAAGAAGAUCUAUCUCGAAAGACACCCCACCCCAUCAACUUGAAUUCACAACAGUUUGGACACAAACUGGGAUUAGAUACCCCACUAUGCCUAACCGUAAACUUUAACUUACAUCAUAUCGCCAGGGAAUUACGAGCAAAGCUUAAAACCCAAAGGACUUGACGGUACCCCACAUCCUUCUAGAGGAGCCUGUCCUAUAAUCGAUAACCCACGUUCAACCUCACCACUUUUUGCCAAUCAGCCUGUAUACUACCGUCGUCAGCCCACCGCAUGAGCGAACAAGUAGGCUUAAUGUCAUACACCAACACGUCAGGUCAAAGUGCAGCUUAUAAAGUGGCAAGAGAUGGGCUACACUUUCUACUAUAGAAGCGCGAAAGAAUAUGUGAAACCAUAAUCAGAAGGCGGAUUUAAUUGUAAGGGGAGAUUAGAAUACCCCCCUUAACCUGGCACUGGGGUGUGUACACACCGCCCGUCACCCUCUUCGAUAACCCACACCAGUAUAUAACAACCUUCUUACACAGAGAAGAGGAAAGUCGUAACAUGGUAAGUAUACCGGAAGGUGUGCUUGGAAA
rnacentral:ncRNA from 1 species